rnacentral:rRNA from 1 species
GGCGUUAAAGGGUGCGUAGGCGGGUCUUUAAGUCAGGGGUGAAAUCCUGGAGCUCAACUCCAGAACUGCCUUUGAUACUGAAGAUCUUGAGUCCGGGAGAGGUGAGUGGAACUGCGAGUGUAGAGGCGAAAUUCGUAGAUAUUCGCAAGAACACCAGUGGCGAAGGCGGCUCACUGGCCCGGUACUGACGCUGAGGCACGAAAGCGUGGGGAGCAAACAGGAUUAGAUACCCUGGUAGUCCCACGCCGUAAACGAUGAAUGCCAGCCGUUAGUGGGUUUACUCACUAGUGGCGCAGCUAACGCUUUAAGCAUUCCGCCUGGGGAGUACGGUCGCAAGAUUAAAAACU